GGCAGAAUACCUCAGCUGGAAACAGCGCUAGUGGUACAAUGACUUAGAGGUCCCCAGUUCGAUUCCAGGUUCAGCCA